UGUCGUCAGCUGGAACGAGGAAGAAAAAGAACACUCAGUGAAGUCACUGUGAGCUGUGUUGAAACAGAGACACUUGUUGAAAGGACUUACGACUUGUACGACGUGCCCACAGUGUAACAUUCCUAAGAAGCGAUGACAUCGCAUAGGGAGAAUUUCGCCAGCUAGGGAGCCGUCAGCAGUUUCACUCAUCAUCAUCGGUCCGGAACACGACGAAAAAGAGUAUAAACACGUGUGCUGUGCCACAUAUCAGUUGGAACUGGCUGCCACUGGCAACACUGCCCAUCCACCAUCCAUCAGCUGUGCACGAAUGGAUCACUUAUGAUGAAAUCAGUACUGAUAAGUUUGGCGUAAUGCUAUACUCAACCCUUCACGUGAUGAACUGUUCCAACAUAUCUGGAAAGUGGUCUUCCUCCGUGGGCUUUCUUUUUUGACUCGUUUUCUUCCCUUUGCGCGUUCCACAUUCCUUCAUUCCUUUUUUCGCCAUGCGCUCGCACACUCUUGAUCCGACUGCAACCGACAUCAGUACCGGUUGACGCAUUUUUAACAAGCCUUCCUUUCCGGGUUCGUCCCACAACAAAAUUUUAAAGCUUCCCACUUUAGCCCCGCUUGGGUCAUUUCCCACAAAACUCCUACCUUACAUUCUAACAUUUCUCAUAAACACCAUCUCACGACGUUCUACAAAAAAAAAGUAUUUUCGCACCAGCCAACAUCCAGCGAUAAUUUUCAACACACACACACACACCGCGACGGAGAGUUGGGAGUCGUCCCGCCCGCCUGAGCAGAGAGUGCGCAAAAGCAAUCACAGAACCGGUUUUCAUUUUCGAUCUGACUUAUUUGAUUUAACAGAGUGAGAUCAUUUUGAAAGCUGAUUUUGUACGGAGAACUCAACCCAAGUUUGCGCAUCGGUGGUGGCGGCGGCGGCGGCGGCGACGAGGGACGACACGCGGUUCGAGCAUUCAAAGUGUUAACAAUUACGUAACGGGGUUGUACCCAGAAGGUAAAGGUUUGUGUCAUUGAGAAUAAAAUUUAUUUAAUGAUGAAUUAU